GCCUCUUCUGUUAUGAAAUGAAAAUCUAUACAUGUAAUUAAAUUUGCACUGAAUAUUAUAUGGAACUCUCAUGUACUUAUGAGCUUAUGUUGUGUUCCAGGCCAUUGAGAGUUUGCUCAGCAAAAAGAUAUUCCUUAAUAUAGAGUAUGGAGUCAAUGGAUACGAGUGAGUAUGCACAAGGUCAAGAUGAAACUCAUAAGGAAAUAUUGUCAACACUUUGGAUUAUUUUCACUAAAAUCGGCAAAGGAAAAGAUGGAGUUGAAAGAGCUGCAUGCAAUUUUUGUAGUACUGAUUUUGCCAUUGGAAAAAACCCCAAGUCUGGUCAAAGUUAUGGAACUUCACAUCUAAGUCGUCA